rnacentral:misc_RNA from 1 species
GUGAAUCAUCAAAUUUUUGAACGCAUAUUGCACUCUCUGGUAUUCCGGAGAGUAUGCCUAUUUGAGGGACAUUUGAAAUAAUAUAAAUUCCAAGAUUUCUCGGAAUUUAAAAUGGGUUGUCCAUUUUGUGUGGUCGCCUAAAAUCCAAGAAAAGAUAAUUUUUUUGGGUUGGGUGAUAUUUUCAGUAACCUGGUGAUUAAACCAGGAUUAAUGGGGCGUGUUAGGAAUUUGGAAGGAGAUAAAAAAU